GUUGACCAAUCACUACCUCAGGUCCCCGUAUAAAAACUGCUAGUUUCCCCCUGCCGCCCUCUCUUUCCCGCUGGUGACGGAAGUGCGUCAUACUUCCGCGUCGCUCAUUCCGUGUAGUUGCUCUGCUGUGCCACAGAUCUUCGGUUGGCGGGCUAUCAUUCACCUUACUGGUUGAACGCCGUGAAUGAGGAGCGAGUAACACUGAUAGCUGCUACGUUUGCAUGCUCGGAGCUUCCUCCCUCUGGGCUUACCAAAACUCUGCUUGAGCGGAACUGGGCUGAAGCCACCGGAGAUCCUUGUAGCUGCUUAGCAUUUCCACUACUGGCUGCUGUUUUGCCGAGACACUGCUGCUUUUGCCGAGACACUGCUGCUUUUGCCGAGACACUGCUGUUUGCUUCAGACGGCUUUUGCCGCGACUGCUGCUGUUAUUGAAAAUUGAAUAUGGUGGCGAUUGCUGCACGCCUGUGUUGCCUUCACAGCUACUGGGCCAAUAUGAGUCACCUGUUUUAUCGAGCCAUUGUUUUAUAGUUGAGGGGUUUGACUCCCUACUUUAAUUUGGUUGAUUUAGUUGUUUCUUUCUUUAUUUUCUUUCUAUUUUGUUUUCAAUUUAAUUAAAAGUUGUACCUAUAUUUUGUUUAGUUUCUUUUAGUUAGUCUUUUUCUAUUUAAACAUUGACUUUACUUGGUUAUGUUAUUGUGUCAAUUAUAAGUGUUUUCUUUCUUGCUUUGUAUGGCUUCCUGGAACCACUAGUGGUUCUAGCCAUUAUAUGGUAUUUAUAUUGUGUUCGAUUUCUUUCAAUUUGUUGCUUUAUAAUCUGUUAUUGAUUUUUGAGAUUUUUUUUGUGGAGUGAAACCUUUUAAUUUUGUGUGUGUGUUUCCCAUUUCUCUCCCCAUUUUUAGUUGACUGAGAGCCGAAGGUGGUGGUGUUGGUGUCCGGGUGGUGGUAUCUCCUUCCCGGUGUGCUGUGUUUCCCCGUUUUCAUUUGCUGUGUUCACUGUUGUGUUUUUUUUUGUGUGUUCACGGGUGACUUUCCCUGGGAUCCCCCUUACCCCAUCGUACCCCCUUCUUCUUCACAAUUAUUUUUCCCCCUUUUUGGUGUGAAUGUGUUUUAAAUUGAUUGCUUUUUAACUUUAUUGAUUUUUAUUGAAAUAAAAUUGUAUUCUUUUUGUAAGUUGAA